rnacentral:ribozyme from 1 species
CAAAGCCGAAUGGAAAAAGAACUCUGGCAACAACGAAAGAAAGAGUUUGUUAUCGUUUCUCUUCCUCUCUUUUGACACAUUAAAGUUAUUUUUUCUUUUUUUUUCAGGCCUCCAUCCAUCCAUCCAUCA